CCUACGGGAGGCAGCAGUGGGGGAUAUUGCACAAUGGGCGAAAGCCUGAUGCAGCGACGCCGCGUGAGGGAAGACGGUCUUCGGAUUGUAAACCUCUGUCUUUGGGGAAGUAAAUGACGGUACCCAAAGAUUAAGCUCCGGCUAACUACGUGCCAGCAGCCGCGGUAAUACGUAGGUAGCAAGCGUUGUCCGGAAUUACUGGGUGUAAAGGGAGCGUAGGCGGGUUGGGAAGUAGAAGGUUAAAUCCGUCGGCUCAACCGGAGGCUGCGUUCUAGACCGGCGUUCUUGAGUGCAGUAGAGGCAGGCGGAAUUCGUGGUGUAGCGGUGAAAUGCGUAGAUAUUAGGAGGAACACCAGUGGCGAAGGCGGCGUGCUGGGCUUUAACUGACGCUGAGGCUCGAAAGCGUGGGGAGCAAACAGGAUUAGAUACCCGAGUAGUC
rnacentral:rRNA from 1 species